rnacentral:rRNA from 1 species
UGUGUAGGCGGGUCGUUAAGUACCUUGUGAAAUCCCACGGCUCACCCGUGGAACGGCUGGGUAUACUGGCGAUCUUGGGCCAACUAGGGGCGACUGGAACAAGCGGUGGAGCGGUGAAAUGCGUAGAUAUCGCUUGGAACGCCGAAGGUGAAAACAGGUCGCUGGGGUUGUGCCGACGCCGAGACACGAAAGCCAGGGGAGCAAA